rnacentral:lncRNA from 1 species
UUGGCUAAUCAUGGCUCUUCGUCCGCUAAAGCAAGACACCCCUGGAGAUACGCACAUAAGAAAACAGCCUCUGAUUCAAGCAGAACCGCGCAUCAGAUCAAAACAGAAGGGGAGAAGAUAAACAAACUGACCUGGUUUCUGCAUAGUGGGAGAACUCCAAGAGUCUACCAGAUCUGCUGCAGGACUUAUUGCCAGUGGAAGCCAAGAAAGGAGGAGAAAAUUACUUCACAUCAGUGCAGGUCCAACUUCAGUGACAGAUCUGGUGGCCUUGGAGUGGCUGAAGACCACCACCCUCCACAGGCCUGCGCCCAAGCACAACUAUCCUUCUUUUUCUUGAGUGAGCCUCCUCAGCAUGCUGUCUAUAUCAUUGGCAGAAACUGUAGUUGCAAAGGGGGCUGAAUGACUACUGGACUUUAUAUGAAAACACCAACUUUCAGGCAAGGCUGGGAUAGGGGCAUAUUAUUUGG